rnacentral:lncRNA from 1 species
GUAAAUUCACAUCAAUUGCAAAAUAAAGAAAUCAUAUCACAUCUGCAAAGAUUAUGAGGGGAUCCCCUAAUAAGUACACUUAACGGUUAACAUUGCUCCACUUAAGAAACAUGCAAUGAUGCAAAUGCAGCAUUCAUUUCUCACUAAUAAUUUCACAGCCGAAGCCAAAAAUAGUAACAGGGUUCCCAUAGUUUUUGAACAACGCAUUGAGUAACUCAACCGAUGUAGGAAUAUAGAUGAAAAUCUCAGAGGUUGAAAACAUUGGUGUUGACAGAGAAAGGCGUUCAAACAGUACACAGAAAAGAAAAAAAUGGGGGAAGAUAAUGGGUGUUGAUCUCUGAGACUAAACACUUAUGUCGGAGAAAGUUGGAGACUGAAAACGUGGUGGGGUUAAAAAAUGCUAUGUGAAUCCAUGUUUGAGUUCAAUGAGUGAGCCACAAAAGGAUGGAUAAAGGAAAGGCCCAUGCAUUCAGAAGAGGUAUUGUACUUUGUGAUGAUGCCUUUGAAUCUAGAGUUCAAGACAAAGGCAACCAAACUUGUAAUUCA